rnacentral:rRNA from 1 species
CCUACGGGUGGCAGCAGUGAGGAAUAUUGGUCAAUGGCCGUAAGGCUGAACCAGCCAAGUAGCGUGAGGGAAGACUGCCCUAUGGGUUGUAAACCUCUUUUAUGCGGGGAUAAAGUGGUCCACGUGUGGAUGUUUGCAGGUACCGCAUGAAUAAGGACCGGCUAAUUCCGUGCCAGCAGCCGCGGUAAUACGGAAGGUCCGGGCGUUAUCCGGAUUUCUUGGGUUUAAAGGGAGCGUAGGCCGGUCUUUAAGCGUGCCUUGAAAUUUUGGGGCUCAACCAUGAGAGUGGGGCGAGAAUUGGAGACGUUGAGUGCGCGGAAGGCAGGCGGAAUUCGUGGUGGAGCGGUGAAAUGCUUAGAUAACACGAAGAACCCCGAUUGCGAAGGCAGCCUGCCGCAGCGGUACUGACGCUGAAGCUCGAAAGCGCGGGUAUCGAACAGGAUUAGAUACCCUGGUAGUC